rnacentral:rRNA from 1 species
UGUUGAUAGGGACGAAGGGCGAAGGGCUUAUAGCCCGGAGCUUGACGGUACCUUUAGAAGAAUGCCGCCGACUAACUACGCGCCAGCAGCCGCGUACUACGUAGAGCGACGAGCGUUGUCGAGUAAUUAGUGGGGCGUAAAGAGCGUGUAGGCGCUCGAUAAGUCUGUCGUGAAAUCCUGGGGCUCAACGCUGGGCGUGCGAUGGAUACUGCCGGGCUAGAGGGUGGUAGAGGCGAGUGGAAUUCCCGGUGUAGCGGUGAAAUGCGCAGAUAUCGGGAGGAACACCAGUAGCGAAGGCGGCUCGCUUGGCCACACCUGACGCUGAGACGCGAAAGCUAGGGGAGCGAACAGGAUUAGAUACCCUGGUAGUCCUAGCCGUAAACGAUGGACACUAGGUGUGGGCGGAGUCGAAUCUGUCUGUGCCGAAGCCAACGCGUUAAGUGUCCCGCCUGGGGAGUACGGCCGCAAGGCUAAAACUCAAAAGAAUUGACGGGGGCCCGCACAAGCAGCGGAGCAGGUUCUUUAAUUCGAUGCAACGCGAAGAACCUUACCUGGACUUGACAUGGUGCUGCAAGCGCACAGAAAUGUGUGACCUUCGAGGGUGCACCACAGAUGCUGCAUGGCUGUCGUCAGCUCGUGUCGUGAGAUGUUGGGUUAAGUCCCGCAACGAGCGCAACCCCCGUGGUGUGUUGCCAUCAUUAAGUUGGGGACUCACACCAGACUGCCGGUGACAAACCGGAGGAAGGUGGGGAGGACGUCAAGUCAUCAUGGCUCCUACGUCCAGGGCUAGAAACGUGCUACAAUGGCGCAUACAAAGGGUUGCAAGACCGCAAGGUGGAGCGAAUCUCAUCAAAGUGCGUCUAAGUUCGGAUCGCAGUCUGCAACUCGACUGCGUGAAGGCGGAGUUGCUAGUAAUCGCGGAUCAGCAUGCCGCGGUGAAUACGUUCCCGGG